GCCGAGGUAGCUUAGCCCGGGUUUCUCCUCGCUGUUAAUUGCGAGGAGAAAGGGAAAGAGCGCCAGACUGAAGAUCUGGUUGCCGGGAGUUCAAGUCUCCCCCUCGGCACCA
rnacentral:tRNA from 1 species